CCGGAGCUUGCUCCACCGAAAGAAAAAGAGUGGCGAACGGGUGAGUAACACGUGGGUAACCUGCCCAUCAGAAGGGGAUAACACUUGGAAACAGGUGCUAAUACCGUAUAACACUAUUUUCCGCAUGGAAGAAAGUUGAAAGGCGCUUUUGCGUCACUGAUGGAUGGACCCGCGGUGCAUUAGCUAGUUGGUGAGGUAACGGCUCACCAAGGCAACGAUGCAUAGCCGACCUGAGAGGGUGAUCGGCCACACUGGGACUGAGACACGGCCCAGACUCCUACGGGAGGCAGCAGUAGGGAAUCUUCGGCAAUGGACGAAAGUCUGACCGAGCAACGCCGCGUGAGUGAAGAAGGUUUUCGGAUCGUAAAACUCUGUUGUUAGAGAAGAACAAGGAUGAGAGUAGAACGUUCAUCCCUUGACGGUAUCUAACCAGAAAGCCACGGCUAACUACGUGCCAGCAGCCGCGGUAAUACGUAGGUGGCAAGCGUUGUCCGGAUUUAUUGGGCGUAAAGCGAGCGCAGGCGGUUUCUUAAGUCUGAUGUGAAAGCCC
rnacentral:rRNA from 1 species